rnacentral:sRNA from 1 species
GGCGAACUCUCAGAUGCCUCAGCACCCUCCCACCCCUUCCUCAGGCAGAACGAGAUCUUGUGGCGGGAGGUGGUGACACUUCGGCAGAGCCACGGUCAGCAGCACCGGGUCAUUGGCAAGCUGAUCCAGUGUCUCUUUGGGCCACUUCAGGCGGGGCCGAGCAAUGCAGGAGGCAAGAGAAAGCUGUCCCUGAUGCUGGAUGAGGGGAGCUCAUGCCCAACACCUGCCAAGUUCAACACCUGCCCUCUACCUGGUGCCCUUCUGCAGGACCCUUACUUCAUCCAGUCGGUAGGUUUGUCUUCUUCCCCCUUCCCAAGGGCAUGGCUGGGCUUAUGGAGAGCCUGUUCCUUCUCCCCAU